ensembl:lncRNA
CAAGCACCAUGUCACAAGUGAAAUGUGGCACGGGUGGGAUUAAUGGAGGCCCAGACUCCCAUAAAUAUUUAUACAAAGCACUCAAGCUCUCAAAUUGGGAGGGGAAACCUCUCCCUACAAGCCCCUGUAAAUCACACAGCUGCUGCGUGCUACCUAUCAGAUCUGCAGCUGUGUGAUCCUGGAUUUGCUCCAUGAGAGUGGCCAUAUAUGUGCUGCAACCCAUGGCCCUCUCCCCGCCUUGCCAGGCAUCACGGAGUAUGUGCCAAGGUCAGUCCCCUCUCCUAGGAUUCUUCUGUGAGCAGCAAAAGAAAGCAUUUGACAACUGCUGCCGCUACUGCAAGUGCAGGGAUGGAGGGCUGCUGUGUCACAAAGUGCUCAGAACAGCGUCUGGUGCUCUGUGUGUUAGCUGUUCUGAUCCCCGGCACGAUCACCAAUCACCAUGACAACCAUCGCCAUCUUCAUCUUCACUCUGGAACGCUAAGGCACUUGGUCCAUGCUCAGAACUUAGAGAAGGCCAGAUGAAGUCUUCAGGCGCCAUUCAGGUCAGCACACAGCCCUGAGUUCAAGCCUUGCCCCGCGGCCUCCUUCUCGGUCCCUCUGUUCACAAAACACUGUCAGCUAUGGCCUGUCCCUUGCAAAGCACUCUGGGCGGUGGGCGAGGAGCUAGCCCUCCAGAUCCCAUCCAGCCUCCUAAUAAUCACCCCUGGCUCCUCCCCUGCUGGAAGGGAUUCAGGAUCCUGGCUGGUCCAGCCUCCUGGGCCCUGAAGAGAAGGCUCUUGUCCACUCUUGCCUCCUUGUUAAGGGGCCUCUGAUUCAGCCCUCAGGAGAGCAGGGGUGGACUUUCUUCCUCCGACCCAGGCAGGGGCUCCUCACUGGGGCUGGGGGCCUCACCCUACCACCUUGGCAGGACCCCAGCUUCUGCAGACUGCCAGUUCUGGCCUGAAAUGUUGGCUCCACCACCUGGGUGGCCUGGGGAGGCCAGGUAAUCUUUCUGAGGCUCACGUCCCACAUUUGCAACAUGGCUAUAAUCACAUUAAUCCUGUGGGGCGGGAAAGGAGAGCAGAGGAGUGAAUGAGAAAAUGCACCUAGAGCAGUGGGUGCAGUGACCUGCCUGGGGCAGGUUCUUAGCAGCAAAUCCAGCCCCCUCUGCCUGCCCCUCCAUCCCCUUCCUGGUUCUGAGGGUAUCCCUGGGGACAGGAGCUGGUCAGAAGCUUGAGGAGGGCAGUGGGGUUCAGACUGGCUCCCCAGCAGGGCCUUCUGUAAGCGGAGAUAGUGUGGGUUUCCCUCGGGGGAGAGGACAAGAAUGGGCAGAGCCUGAACCCAAGGUCUGUCAAGGCCCAUCCCCUUUGCGGAGUCUGCAUGCUCCGUGUGUGAGCUGAACACCUCUACCUGCUGGACACAGAUUACACAGCCAGAGGUCAGGGGCUGCUCGGCUUACCCUUC